rnacentral:rRNA from 1 species
CAGUCGCCGCGGUAAUACGAAGGGGGCUAGCGUUGUUCGGAUUUACUGGGCGUAAAGCGCACGUAGGCGGACUUUUAAGUCAGGGGUGAAAUCCCGGGGCUCAACCCCGGAACUGCCUUUGAUACUGGAAGUCUUGAGUAUGGAAGAGGUGAGUGGAAUUCCGAGUGUAGAGGUGAAAUUCGUAGAUAUUCGGAGGAACACCAGUGGCGAAGGCGGCUCACUGGUCCAUUGCUGACGCUGAGGUGCGGAAGCGUGGGGAGCAAACAGGAUUAGAUACCCCUGUAGUCCCUGUCUCUUAUAC